rnacentral:lncRNA from 1 species
CCGCCGCCUGCUCCUGCCUCCAUCGCAUAGGCCACCUCCAGUUUGCCACGUAAAAGUUUCGGGGAGGGAAGACCUGCCACCUCUGGGUCACGCGGUCCCCUGCACGGCCGGCCUCCUUGCGCCCCGGGACGGCAGAAACCGACCCAGGGCACAGGGUCCUGUGAGGGCUGCCGCCGGGUCCCCUGCUCCGCUGCUGCCCGUCUGGCCCUGCGGGGACUCUGCUCGUUGGGCUGCGGGCGGUGGGGCUCCAGGGCGUCCAUACCCGAGAGGGCCGGGGGCAUCGGGGGCGUCCACACCCAGGGGUCUGGGGCGUCCAGGGCGUCCACACCCGGGGAGCCGGGGGCUCCAGGGCAUCCAGGGCGUCCCCACUCAGGGGAUCCAGGGCAUCUAGGGUGUUGGGGGCGUCCACACGCGGGGGUCCGGGGCGUCCAGGGCGUCCCCACUCAGGGGGAUCCAGGACGUCUAGGGUGUCGGAGGCAUCCACAUGCAGGGGUCCAGUGUGUCCAGGGCAUCCACACGCGGGGGCUCCAAGGGCUCCGGGAGCUCCGGGGCAUCCCCACACGGCAGCACCGUGGGUACCGGGGCAGUGAGUGCGGGCACAGCACCCCCCUGGGCCCGGUCCCCUUGGCACCUGCUGGCCCGCAGGUCCCCGUGCAAUGGCCUCAGCGGUGGAGCUCGGGGGGGGGCUUNAGCACCGUGGGUACCGGGGCAGUGAGUGCGGCCGCAGCACCCCCCUGGGCCCGGUCCCCUUGGCACCUGCUGGCCCGCAGGUCCCCGUGCAAUGGCCUCAGCGGUGGAGCUCGGCCGGGGGGGCUUCCCGCUGACACCCACUGUCCCUUGGCCGCGUCCCCUUCCCUCUCAGGCCGUACUUCCCUCCUGGCUCCCCUUCCUGUCCCGUGUUCCAGCAGCGCCCUGUGCGCCAGGGGGACAGCUCAGCAGUUGCCGCAUGGACACUGUGCGGUGUUUAUACCCGUCGCCUUUUUAUUAUUUUUUAAAGAUUUUAUUUAUUUAUUCACGAGACACAGAGAGAGGCAGAGAUACAGGCAGAGGGAGAAGCAGGGAGCCCGAUGCGGACUCGGUCCCAGGACCCCGGGGUCACGCCCUGAGCCGAAGGCCAGCGCUCAGUCACUGAACCCCCACUUCCGCCCCCGGCGCCCUGUCCUUUUCUCUCUUGAUGGCCUUGCCUCCUUCACUGCUGUGCCUCGGUGCUACUCCCACUGCCAGCUUUAAUGACGCGCCGCCCUGGGAAUGGCCAGGAGGCGGCUUCUGCACCUCCCCAUCAAACGAAUGCCAAAGAUGUCCCUUUUGUCCUGUGGCAUCCCCUAUCCAAGAUCUGUGUCAUAAAUUUUAAGAAUUUAGUUCUUGGGGGAAAAAAAGUUUAUCAAAACUGCUUGCAUUCUUUCAUCAGACUAUUAGAAUUGUUCAGUUGAUUUAGCUUCCCUUUUUGCCUUGGCUGCCAGUCAGCCCAGGGAUGAAUCUGUCGCUCAGUUAUGGUCACCAUAUUAGAAUCCUGUUC